UCCGCCGGACAGGCAGUCGCGACAGUCCCACGCUCCGCUCGCGGAGAGAGGGGCAAUCGAGGAAAGUCCGGUCUCCAUAGGGCGGCGUGCCGGCUAACGGCCGGGGGGGCCCGCUCAAAGCGGGUUUCACGGAUCAGUGCCACAGAAAAUAUACCGCCGGCGGCGCGCAAGUGCGGCCGGUAAGGGUGAAAUGGUGCGGUAAGAGCGCACCGCGCCCGGAGUAAUCCGGGUGGCAGGGAAAACCCCACGUGGAGCAAGACCAAAUAGGGGAGGAGGGGCGGCCCGCUCCGAUCGACUCCCGGGUAGGUUGCUAGAGCCGGCCAGUAAUGGCCGGCCGAGAGGAAUGACUGCCACCAGGCCGGCAACGGUCUGGCACAGAAACCGGCUUAUCGUCCGGCGGUUUCC
rnacentral:RNase_P_RNA from 1 species